rnacentral:rRNA from 1 species
UACGGAGGGUGCAAGCGUUAAUCGGAAUUACUGGGCGUAAAGCGUACGCAGGCGGUUUUUUAAGUCAGAUGUGAAAUCCCCGGGCUCAACCUGGGAACUGCAUUUGGAACUGGCAAGCUAGAGUAUCGUAGAGGGGGGUAGAAUUCCAGGUGUAGCGGUGAAAUGCGUAGAGAUCUGGAGGAAUACCGGUGGCGAAGGCGACCCCCUGGACGAAUACUGACGCUCAGGUGCGAAAGCGUGGGGAGCAAACAGG